UACGUAGGGUGCAGGCGUUAAUCGGAAUUACUGGGCGUAAAGCGUGCGCAGGCGGUUUGCUAAGUCAGGUGUGAAAUCCCCGGGCUUAACCUGGGAACUGCGCUUGUUACUGGCAAGCUGGAGUGUGGCAGAGGGGGGUGGAAUUCCACGUGUAGCAGUGAAAUGCGUAGAGAUGUGGAGGAACACCGAUGGCGAAGGCAGCCCCCUGGGCUAACACUGACGCUCAGGCACGAAAGCGUGGGGAGCAAACAGG
rnacentral:rRNA from 1 species